rnacentral:tRNA from 1 species
GCCUCUGGCUCAAUGGUUAGAGCGUUUGACUUGUGAUCAACAGAUCACGGGUUCGAGCCUCGAGUGGGGCA